rnacentral:ncRNA from 2 species
ACCGCAAGGCCGCUGCCCAGCGUCCCGCGCGGUUGAGCCUUGACUUAAUUGGGGAAGCCGGUUGAAAUCCGGCGCGGACCCGCCACUGUAAGGAAGGGAGCCUGCAUAGAUUGUUUGCAUGGUCUCCGAGCGCGGCAGCAUGAAAACAUUGAACAUUCCGUUCGAUAGAACAUGCCGACUCAACUUCCAAGCCAGGAUACCAGCCUGUAUCUUUACGCCGUU